CCUACGGGUGGCUGCAGUGAGGAAUAUUGGUCAAUGGGCGUAAGCCUGAACCAGCCAAGUCGCGUGAGGGAUGAAGGUUCUAUGGAUCGUAAACCUCUUUUAUAAGGGAAUAAAGUGUGGGACGUGUCCUGUUUUGUAUGUACCUUAUGAAUAAGGAUCGGCUAACUCCGUGCCAGCAGCCGCGGUAAUACGGAGGAUCCGAGCGUUAUCCGGAUUUAUUGGGUUUAAAGGGUGCGUAGGUGGCUUGUUAAGUCAGCGGUGAAAGUCUGUGGCUCAACCAUAGAAUUGCAGUUGAAACUGGGAGGCUUGAGUACAGUAGAGGCGGGCGGAAUGCGUGGUGUAGCGGUGAAAGGCUUAGAUAUCACGAAGAACCCCGAUUGCGAAGGCAGCUCACCAGACUGUAACUGACGCUGAGGCACGAAAGCGUGGGUAUCAAACAGGAUUAGAUACCCGGGUAGUC
rnacentral:rRNA from 1 species